rnacentral:pre_miRNA from 1 species
UUUUUUGCUGCUGCAGCAUUAUCAAGAUUCAUAUGCAAAUAUAGUACGGCAGCCGUGGUCCCGGUACCGCGAUUGUUUUUUUUCAGAUGCCAUAGCUUUUAUUUGAGCAUGAGAAUCUUGAUGAUGCUGCAUCGGCCAUAAA